rnacentral:rRNA from 4 species
UGGGGAAUAUUGCACAAUGGGCGAAAGCCUGAUGCAGCGACGCCGCGUGAGCGAAGAAGUAUUUCGGUAUGUAAAGCUCUAUCAGCAGGGAAGAUAAUGACGGUACCUGACUAAGAAGCACCGGCUAAAUACGUGCCAGCAGCCGCGGUAAUACGUAUGGUGCAAGCGUUAUCCGGAUUUACUGGGUGUAAAGGGAGCGCAGGCGGUGCGGCAAGUCUGAUGUGAAAGCCCGGGGCUCAACCCCGGUACUGCAUUGGAAACUGUCGUACUAGAGUGUCGGAGGGGUAAGCGGAAUUCCUAGUGUAGCGGUGAAAUGCGUAGAUAUUAGGAGGAACACCAGUGGCGAAGGCGGCUUACUGGACGAUAACUGACGCUGAGGCUCGAAAGCGUGGGGAGCAAACAGG